rnacentral:rRNA from 1 species
UACGGAGGGUGCAAGCGUUGCUCGGAAUUACUGGGCGUAAAGGGCUCGUAGGCGGCCAACUAAGUCAGACGUGAAAUCCCUCGGCUUAACCGGGGAACUGCGUCUGAUACUGGAUGGCUUGAGGUUGGGAGAGGGAUGCGGAAUUCCAGGUGUAGCGGUGAAAUGCGUAGAUAUCUGGAGGAACACCGGUGGCGAAGGCGGCAUCCUGGACCAAUUCUGACGCUGAGGAGCGAAAGCCAGGGGAGCAAACGGG